rfam:Gorilla gorilla gorilla genomic chromosome, chr6, whole genome shotgun sequence
AUCGCUUCUCGGCCUUUUGGCUAAGAUCAAGUGUAGGAUCUCUAAGGGCCAAUAGUGGCAGUUGCAAACUUGGAAAUUCUAUCGUGGCCCUUAAAAAUUACUUAGAUAGUAAAUAAAAGGGGCCCUAUCAAUAGGGCCCAGGGAAUCUCACUAUUAACAGUUCUUCAUUCAGAAAAGUGUUUGCUUCCCCUACAU